rnacentral:ncRNA from 1 species
UUUACAGGGAAUGAGGUUCUCCCUUAGUGCUGCACUAAAACCGCUUAUAUAAGCUGAUGACUUCUGU